rnacentral:rRNA from 2 species
GUGGAGCCUGCGGCUUAAUUUGACUCAACACGGGAAACCUCACCAGGCCCGGACACCAGAAGGAUUGACAGAUUAAGAGCUCUUUCUCGAUUUGGUGGGUGGUGGUGCAUGGCCGUUCUUAGUUGGUGGAGUGAUUUGUCUGGUUAAUUCCGGUAACGAACGAGACUCUGGCCUACUAAAUAGUCGACGGGCGUUUUGGUGCAUGGGCCCCGUUCGACACAGUCUUCUUAGAGGGAUGAGCAGCGAGUAUAGCUGCAGGAGAUUGAGCAAUAACAGGUCUGUGAUGCCCUUAGAUGUCCUGGGCCGCACGCGCGCUACACUGAAUGGGUUAGCGGGUUGUCCUUCUCCGAGAGGAGCGGGAAAUCGCGUGAAAACCAUUCGUGAUAGGGAUUGGGGCUUGCAAUUGUUUCCCAUGAACGAGGAAUUCCCAGUAAGCGCAAGUCAUCAGCUUGCGUUGAUUAAGUCCCUGCCCUUUGUACACACCGCCCGUCGCUACUACCGAUUGAAUGAUUUAGUGAGGCCUUCGGACUGGCGGUCUUGGACUGGGGCGCCGGCGUUCUCCCAGCGAUGGGGUGCCGGCGACUCGCCUGGACGGGCCGGAAAGAUGUCCAAACUUGAUCAUUUAGAGGAAGUAAAAGUCGUAACAAGGUUUCC